CCUACGGGAGGCAGCAGUGAGGAAUAUUGGUCAAUGGGCGCGAGCCUGAACCAGCCAAGUAGCGUGAAGGAUGACUGCCCUACGGGUUGUAAACUUCUUUUAUAAAGGAAUAAAGUGAGGCACGUGUGCCUUUUUGUCUGUACUUUAUUAAUAAGGAUCGGCUAACUCCGUGCCAGAAGCCGCGGUAAUACGGAGGAUCCACGCGUUAUCCGGAUUUAUUGGGUUUAAAGGGAGCGUAGAUGGGUUGUUAAGUCAGUUGUGAACUUUUGCGGCUCAACCGUAAAAUUGCAAUUGAUACUGGCAGCCUUGAGUACAGUUGAGGUAGGCGGAAUUCGUGGUGUAGCGGUGAAAUGCUUAGAUAUCACGAAGAACUCCGAUUGCGAAGGCAGCCUACUAAACUGCCACUGACAUUGAUGCUCGAAAGUGUGGGUAUCAAACAGGAUUAGAUACCCCAGUAGUC
rnacentral:rRNA from 1 species